rnacentral:lncRNA from 1 species
AAAUAAUCUAAUCUUGGUUUUGAAUUCAGCCCUACAAGCCCAUUUUUGAAUUUUAGGAUUUUCUGACUUUCUCCUGAUUCUGAGAAGGAUGUAGCACUGCUUCACUGAUGCUUCAAGAAGAGAGGAGGAGCAGUGUCUGAAGCCUGUGCUGUUCCCUGUAAGAGUAAAUACAAUAUGUCUUCAAGGCACUUUCUUUGCCUGGAGAGGGGCUGAAGAAGAGGGAUAAAGCAGAAAUUUCCAGAGUCUUCAUCUGCCUGCUGCUUUACAGAUUAAACAUAGCGCAUUGCUUCGGGGGAGGCUGGCAGAUUUGGAAAACGAAGUGCAUCUCCUGGGUGGCUUCCCGGCUCCCUGCACAGGACCAAGAGGCAUAAGCUCCUAAAGACCUGAGCCUCUGUUUGGCAAACCCAUAUGUGGGAAGAUGAAAGCAGUCGGAGGCCUUUUGGAAGGGACCCAUGUGGCCUGCAGUACCUCUGGCAGACUGUCUUUUACAGAGAUGUCAAUGAGGU